rnacentral:rRNA from 1 species
GACGAGGGAUCCUAGCGUUGUUCGGAAUCAUUGGGCGUAAAGCGGGUGUAGGUGGCUUUGUAAGUCAGGUGUGAAAGCCCAGGGCUCAACCCUGGAAGUGCAUUUGAUACUGUGAAGCUUGAGUGCUGGAGAGGUUACUAGAAUACCUGGUGUAGUGGUGAAAUACGUAGAUAUCAGGUGGAAUACCGGAGGCGAAGGCGGGUAACUAGCCAGACACUGACACUCAGACCCGAAAGCGUGGGGAUCAAACAGG